UCAUCAAGCUUCCUUUGUACCGUAUCCAAUGAUCUUUGAUACCUUGCACUAAUAUCCCGCUUCGUCUUAUCUUGACCAACAACCUCGAGAAAAAUCGCAAUAGAUUCUCAAUGUAGACAUUGUGAGACUCUUUCAAUCCAUAUCGCUCAGUUACGAUCUUGCACAAAGCUUCAAAAGAAUGUCAUAACAUUGUUGAUCAGAUUCAUACAUAAGUUGUUGAACAUGACGCCAUCCUGCUCCUCAGUCUGUUCUUUGACUCAAUCUCUCACUUAUAGCCACAUCAAAUAAACCAAGUUCAUCAUUAUAAUCAUCAUCUUCAUCUUCCAAUAUCCAUCUUUCAAGCAUCUACAAAGCCAUCAAAAGGAGAUUGUUAUUACACCAGCAACAUGAAAUUUGCUAACAAAUCAACAACAAAGCCAUUACACGCAAAACAAAUGAGAUUAUAACUUGUGUAACAUCCAGCUCAUUCUACAAUAUUCAGUGAAUCAUUCUUAUUAACACAACAACCAAAACCUCUUGAACUUGAGAGGGUCUGAACUUGAGAGUGUGAGCUUGAGACGAGAGAGCCUGCAAGGAUAUAACCUCAAGAGACUAAAGACAGUGCUUAGUCUAGAGGUUCCAAAAUCAAGCUAUCAGAUUAUAUCAAGCUAAAAUGCGAGUAACCAACAAACCCAUCAGAUUAUAUCAAGCUAAAACGUCAAUAACCAGAACACAGAAGAUCUUAUACAAACCCAUCAGAGAAACCAAUUACACAAACCUGAGAAAGAAGCUAAGAAAGAAGCAAUAACAUAAGACUCGUACACCAAACAUUCAGUAGGUUAUCAACUAAUC
rnacentral:lncRNA from 1 species